UACGUAGGGUGCAAGCGUUAAUCGGAAUUACUGGGCUUAAAGCGUGUGUAGGCGGAUCGUUAAGUACCUUGUGAAAUCCCACGGCUCAACCGUGGAACUGCUGGGUGUACUGGCGGUCUUGAGCCACCUAGGGGCGAGCGGAACAAGCGGUGGAGCGGUGAAAUGCGUAGAUAUCGCUUGGAACGCCAACGGUGAAAACAGCUCGCUGGGGGUGUGCUGACGCUGAGACACGAAAGCCAGGGGAGCGAACGGG
rnacentral:rRNA from 1 species